rnacentral:rRNA from 1 species
GAGGGAAAGGCGAAAAGAACCCCGGCGAGGGGAGUGAAAAAGAACCUGAAACCGUGUACGUACAAGCAGUGGGAGCACAGGUUUACCUGUGUGACUGCGUACCUUUUGUAUAAUGGGUCAGCGACUUAUAUUCUGUAGCAAGGUUAACCGUAUAGGGGAGCCGCAGGGAAACCGAGUCUUAACCGGGCGUUAAGUUGCAGGGUAUAGACCCGAAACCCGGUGAUCUAGCCAUGGGCAGGUUGAAGGUUGGGUAACACUAACUGGAGGACCGAACCGACUAAUGUUGAAAAAUUAGCGGAUGACCUGUGGCUGGGGGUGAAAGGCCAAUCAAACCGGGAGAUAGCUGGUUCUCCCCGAAAGCUAUUUAGGUAGCGCCUCGUGAAUUCAUCUCCGGGGGUAGAGCACUGUUUCGGCUAGGGGGCCAUCUCGGCUUACCAACCCGAUGCAAACUGCGAAUACCGGAGAAGGUUAUCACGGGAGACACACGGCGGGUGCUA